UUAAUAUGAUAGAAUGUCAGGGUGUUAUAUCAUGUUGUUAUGUCAGGGGUUAUGUCAGGGUGUAAUGUCAGGGUGUAAUGUCAGGGUGUUAUGUCAGGGUGUUAUGUCAGGGGGUAAUGUCAGGGUGUUAUCAGGGGUUAUGUCAGGGUGUUAUCAGAGUGUAAUGUCAGGGUGUAAUGUCAGGGUGUUAUGUCAGGGGUUAUAUCAGGGUGUAAUGUCAGGGUGUAAUGUCAUGGGGUUAUAUCAGGGUGUAAUGUCAGGGUGUAAUGUCAGGGUGUAAUGUCAGGGUGUUAUGUCAGGGGGUUAUGUCAGGGGGUUAUUUCAGGGUGUUAUUUCAGGAUGUGGUUGCAAUAUAUGAGAUAGAUGUGAAUCCUAUUACGCUAUGAUCCAUAGAUCAUCUAUUUUAGAGAAAUUGUGGGUAUCAACAGUCAUACAGCGUGA
ensembl:lncRNA